rnacentral:pre_miRNA from 1 species
UGAGGGGAAUGUUGUCUGGUUCGAUGUCAUUCAUGUGAAGCUCGAACUAGUUCUUAACUGAAUGAUUUCGGACCAGGCUUCAUUCCCCCCAAC